rnacentral:rRNA from 1 species
CGCUGGCGGCGUGCCUAACACAUGCAAGUCGAACGGGACUCAGCCCUUCGGGACUGAGUUUAGUGGCGAACGGGUGAGUAACGCGUGAGGAACCUGCCUUUCAGUGGGGGACAACAGUUGGAAACGACUGCUAAUACCGCAUAAUACUUUCGAGCGGCAUCGUUUGAAAGUCAAAGAUUUAUUGCUGAAAGAUGGCCUCGCGUCUGAUUAGCUGGUUGGUGAGGUAACGGCCCACCAAGGCGACGAUCAGUAGCCGGUCUGAGAGGAUGAACGGCCACAUUGGGACUGAGAUACGGCCCAGACUCCUACGGGAGGCAGCAGUGGGGAAUAUUGGGCAAUGGGGGAAACCCUGACCCAGCAACGCCGCGUGAAGGAAGAAGGCCUUCGGGUUGUAAACUUCUUUUACCAGGGACGAAAAAGAUGACGGUACCUGGAGAAAAAGCAACGGCUAACUACGUG